rnacentral:rRNA from 1 species
UACGGAGGAUGCGAGCGUUAUCCGGAUUUAUUGGGUUUAAGGGUGCGUAGGCGGUCCGGAAAGUCAGCGGUAAAAGCCCGGGGCUCAACCCCGGCGAGCCGUUGAAACUGUCGGACUAGAGACGGCGAGAAGUACGCGGAAUGCGCGGUGUAGCGGUGAAAUGCAUAGAUAUCGCGCAGAACUCCGAUUGCGAAGGCAGCGUACCGGCGCCGGACUGACGCUGAGGCACGAAAGCGUGGGUAUCGAACAGG